rnacentral:rRNA from 1 species
GAUGAACGCUGGCGGCGUGCCUAAUACAUGCCAGUCGAGCGAACGGACGAGAAGCUUGCUUUUCUGAUGUUAGCGGCGGACGGGUGAGUAACACGUGGAUAACCUACCUAUAAGACUGGGAUAACUUCGGGAAACCGGAACUAAUACCGGAUAAUAUUUUGAACCGCAUGGUUCAAAAGUGAAAGACGGUCUUGCUGUCACUUAUAGAUGGAUCCGCGCUGCAUUAGCUAGUUGGUAAGGUAACGGCUUACCAAGGCAACGAUGCAUAGCCGACCUGAGAGGGUGAUCGGCCACACUGGAACUGAGACACGGUCCAGACUCCUACGGGAGGCAGCAGUAGGGAAUCUUCCGCAAUGGGCGAAAGCCUGACGGAGCAACGCCGCGUGAGUGAUGAAGGUCUUCGGAUCGUAAAACUCUGUUAUUAGGGAAGAACAUAUGUGUAAGUAACUGUGCGCAUCUUGACGGUACCUAAUCAGAAAGCCACGGCUAACUACGUG